ACAUCUAAGUACCCCGAGGAGAAGAAAUCAACCGAGAUUCCGGUAGUAGCGGCGAGCGAACCUGGAUUAGCCCUUAAGCACUCGGUGAAGUAGGUGAACAAGCUGGAAAGCUUGGCGAUACAGGGUGAUAGCCCCGUAACCGACGCUUCAUCGAGCGUGAAAUCGAGUAGGGCGGGACACGUGAUAUCCUGUCUGAAUAUGGGGGGACCAUCCUCCAAGGCUAAAUACUCCUGACUGACCGAUAGUGAACCAGUACCGUGAGGGAAAGGCGAAAAGAACCCCUGUGAGGGGAGUGAAAUAGAACCUGAAACCGUGUACGUACAAGCAGUAGGAGCACCUUCGUGGUGUGACUGCGUACCUUUUGUAUAAUGGGUCAGCGACUUAUAUUCAGUGGCAAGGUUAACCGUAUAGGGGAGCCGUAGCGAAAGCGAGUCUUAACUGGGCGCUCAGUCUCUGGAUAUAGACCCGAAACCGGGUGAUCUAGCCAUGGGCAGGUUGAAGGUUGAGUAACAUCAACUGGAGGACCGAACCGACUAAUGUUGAAAAAUUAGCGGAUGACUUGUGGCUAGGGGUGAAAGGCCAAUCAAACUCGGAGAUAGCUGGUUCUCCCCGAAAGCUAUUUAGGUAGCGCCUCGGACGAAUACUACUGGGGGUAGAGCACUGUUAAGGCUAGGGGGUCAUCCCGACUUACCAACCCUUUGCAAACUCCGAAUACCAGUAAGUACUAUCCGGGAGACACACGGCGGGUGCUAACGUCCGUCGUGGAGAGGGAAACAACCCAGACCGCCAGCUAAGGUCCCAAAGUAUUGCUAAGUGGGAAACGAUGUGGGAAGGCUCAGACAGCUAGGAUGUUGGCUUAGAAGCAGCCAUCAUUUAAAGAAAGCGUAAUAGCUCACUAGUCGAGUCGGCCUGCGCGGAAGAUGUAACGGGGCUAAGCAAUACACCGAAGCUGCGGCAAUGUCUUUUAGAUAUUGGGUAGGGGAGCGUUCUGUAAGCCGUUGAAGGUGAAUCGUAAGGUUUGCUGGAGGUAUCAGAAGUGCGAAUGCUGACAUGAGUAACGACAAAGGGGGUGAAAAACCUCCUCGCCGGAAGACCAAGGGUUCCUGUCCAACGUUAAUCGGGGCAGGGUGAGUCGACCCCUAAGGUGAGGCCGAAAGGCGUAAUCGAUGGGAAACGGGUUAAUAUUCCCGUACUUCUGACUAUUGCGAUGGGGGGACGGAGAAGGCUAGGUGGGCCAGGCGACGGUUGUCCUGGUUCAAGUGCGUAGGCUUGAGAGUUAGGUAAAUCCGGCUCUCUUUAAGGCUGAGACACGACGUCGAGCUGCUACGGCAGUGAAGUCAUUGAUGCCAUGCUUCCAGGAAAAGCCUCUAAGCUUCAGAUAGUCAGGAAUCGUACCCCAAACCGACACAGGUGGUCGGGUAGAGAAUACCAAGGCGCUUGAGAGAACUCGGGUGAAGGAACUAGGCAAAAUGGUACCGUAACUUCGGGAGAAGGUACGCUCUUGAUGGUGAAGUCCCUCGCGGAUGGAGCUGACGAGAGUCGCAGAUACCAGGUGGCUGCAACUGUUUAUUAAAAACACAGCACUGUGCAAAAUCGCAAGAUGACGUAUACGGUGUGACGCCUGCCCGGUGCCGGAAGGUUAAUUGAUGGGGUUAGCGCAAGCGAAGCUCUUGAUCGAAGCCCCGGUAAACGGCGGCCGUAACUAUAACGGUCCUAAGGUAGCGAAAUUCCUUGUCGGGUAAGUUCCGACCUGCACGAAUGGCGUAAUGAUGGCCACGCUGUCUCCACCCGAGACUCAGUGAAAUUGAAAUCGCUGUGAAGAUGCAGUGUACCCGCGGCUAGACGGAAAGACCCCGUGAACCUUUACUACAGCUUGGCACUGAACAUUGAACCUACAUGUGUAGGAUAGGUGGGAGGCUAUGAAGACGUGACGCCAGUUGCGUUGGAGCCGUCCUUGAAAUACCACCCUUGUAUGUUUGAUGUUCUAACGUUGGCCCCUAAUCGGGGUUGCGGACAGUGCCUGGUGGGUAGUUUGACUGGGGCGGUCUCCUCCCAAAGAGUAACGGAGGAGCACGAAGGUGGGCUAAUCACGGUUGGACAUCGUGAGGUUAGUGCAAUGGCAUAAGCCCGCUUAACUGCGAGAAUGACGGUUCGAGCAGGUGCGAAAGCAGGUCAUAGUGAUCCGGUGGUUCUGUAUGGAAGGGCCAUCGCUCAACGGAUAAAAGGUACUCCGGGGAUAACAGGCUGAUACCGCCCAAGAGUUCAUAUCGACGGCGGUGUUUGGCACCUCGAUGUCGGCUCAUCACAUCCUGGGGCUGAAGUCGGUCCCAAGGGUAUGGCUGUUCGCCAUUUAAAGUGGUACGCGAGCUGGGUUUAGAACGUCGUGAGACAGUUCGGUCCCUAUCUGCCGUGGGCGUUGGAAGAUUGAAGGGGGCUGCUCCUAGUACGAGAGGACCGGAGUGGACGAACCUCUGGUGUUCGGGUUGUGUCGCCAGACGCAUUGCCCGGUAGCUAAGUUCGGAAUUGAUAAGCGCUGAAAGCAUCUAAGCGCGAAGCGAGCCCUGAGAUGAGUCUUCCCUGAUA
rnacentral:rRNA from 1 species